AAGGAGAGAAUUACAAAAACAAGGAGGUAUACCGUGCUUUCAUACGUUUGCUCUGAUAGAAUGCAUGAAGCUCCUACUUAUAGAAGGUGGACUUCAAACAACCUUGGAUAUUUUUAAGAAGAUAUUCAAUUCAAAAGCCUGGAAGUCUGCGAAGUGCGUACCCAUAAGAGGAGGUUUUGCUUUGAUGAAUCCACAGGCCGGCGACCAGUAAUGAUCUCCAGGACAAGAAUCCCAAAUGCAAAAACAUCUGUUUUCUCAUCCACAAUGCCAUGCAUGAAAUACUCUGGUGCUAGGUACCCAAAUGUUCCCUCUAUUGGGAUCACAGCAUGAUAGUGAAGACCUCUAGCAACUCCAAUGGCAAUCUUGUACCUCACAGGCCAAUUGAGUGACGCACUUGUUUUACCUGACGGUUCUCCAAUUGAAAUAGGCCCAAUUAAGAAGCAAAUAUCAAGGCGUUUUCACGUUUAUCCGAAGGGGCAGUUGCUCUUCUUACCGUGCAAUGCAGAUGACAAAGUUCCAUUCUCAGAGAAGCUGAAAAUCAAAUAGAGUCCAUUUUCAAUGCAGCAGCCAAAUAAAUUUGCGGUAUUGGGUGGCACACAU